UACGGGAGGCAGCAGUGGGGAAUAUUGCACAAUGGGCGCAAGCCUGAUGCAGCGACGCCGCGUGAGGGAUGACGGCCUUCGGGUUGUAAACCUCUUUCAGCAGGGAAGAAGCGCAAGUGACGGUACCUGCAGAAGAAGCGCCGGCUAACUACGUGCCAGCAGCCGCGGUAAUACGUAGGGCGCAAGCGUUGUCCGGAAUUAUUGGGCGUAAAGAGCUCGUAGGCGGCUUGUCGCGUCGGUUGUGAAAGCCCGGGGCUUAACCCCGGGUCUGCAGUCGAUACGGGCAGGCUAGAGUUCGGUGGGGGAGAUCGGAAUUCCUGGUGUAGCGGUGAAAUGCGCAGAUAUCAGGAGGAACACCGGUGGCGAAGGCGGAUCUCUGGGCCGAUACUGACGCUGAGGAGCGAAAGCGUGGGGAGCGAACAGGAUUAGAUACCCUGGUAGUCCACGCCGUAAACGGUGGGCACUAGGUGUGGGCAACNUUUCCACGUUGUCCGUGCCGCAGCUAACGCAUUAAGUGCCCCGCCUGGGGAGUACGGCCGCAAGGCUAAAACUCAAAGGAAUUGACGGAAUCGAAUUCCCGCGGCC
rnacentral:rRNA from 1 species